rnacentral:rRNA from 1 species
UACGUAGGUGGCAAGCGUUGUCCGGAAUUAUUGGGCGUAAAGGGCGCGUAGGCGGCCUGGCAAGUGGAAGGUGAAAUCCCUCGGCUUAACCGAGGAACUGCCUUCCAAACUGCUUGGCUUGAGUCCGGGAGAGGUGAGUGGAAUUCCCAGUGUAGCAGUGAAAUGCGUAGAUAUUGGGAGGAACACCAGUGGCGAAGGCGGCUCACUGGACCGGAACUGACGCUGAUGCGCGAAAGCGUGGGGAGCAAACGGG